rnacentral:rRNA from 2 species
UGGGGAAUAUUGGGCAAUGGAGGAAACUCUGACCCAGCAACGCCGCGUGAAUGAAGAAGGCCUUCGGGUUGUAAAGUUCUUUAGUGAGGGACGAACAAAUGACGGUACCUCGAGAAUAAGCCACGACUAACUACGUGCCAGCAGUCGCGGUAAUACGUAGGUGGCAAGCGUUGUCCGGAAUGACUGGGCGUAAAGGGAGUGUAGGCGGUGCAACAAGUUAGGAGUGAAAUCCCGUGGCUUAACCACGGAACUGCUUUUAAAACUGUUGUGCUUGAGUGAUGGAGAGGAAAGCGGAAUUCCUAGUGUAGCGGUGGAAUGCGUAGAUAUUAGGAGGAACACCAGAGGCGAAGGCGGCUUUCUGGACAUUAACUGACGCUGAGGCUCGAAAGCGUGGGGAGCAAACAGG